rnacentral:lncRNA from 1 species
AAAGUGCCUGUAAAUAAACCCUGAGUGGGCAACAUGAAUGGCCGCAGACCAGACAAAAUGAGAAUCCAGUUAAACAAGUGCAUGAAACAUGCCCCUUAGUCCACCCAGCCUGCAACACAAAAGCACAGAACAGGCAGCGUCUAAACCACAGACAUUGACUUCCUUCCGUUCUGGAGGCCGGAAGUCCAAGAUGGAGGGUCCCGCAGAUUCCGUGUCUGAUUGUUGCAGCAGAUCCAACUGAAGGAUACACCAACCACUUUAAUCAGACACAAAAGAACAGGCUGUCCUCACCUGACCACUACCCACAACAACCGAACUUUAAUCAGACACAAAAGAACAGGCUCUCACCUGACCACCACCCACAACAACCGAAGGGCAGGGUGAGUCCAUUUAGAGUCUCGAGAAUUUCAGACGUGCAUUCACUUUAAAG